rnacentral:rRNA from 1 species
GGGUUGUGAGGUUAAGCGACUAAGCGUACACGGUGGAUGCCCUGGCAGUCAGAGGCGAUGAAGGACGUGCUAAUCUGCGAUAAGCGUCGGUAAGGUGAUAUGAACCGUUAUAACCGGCGAUUUCCGAAUGGGGAAACCCAGUGUGUUUCGACACACUAUCAUUAACUGAAUCCAUAGGUUAAUGAGGCGAACCGGGGGAACUGAAACAUCUAAGUACCCCGAGGAAAAGAAAUCAACCGAGAUUCCCCCAGUAGCGGCGAGCGAACGGGGAGCAGCCCAGAGCCUGAAUCAGUGUGUGUGUUAGUGGAAGCGUCUGGAAAGGCGCGCGAUACAGGGUGACAGCCCCGUACACAAAAAUGCACAUGCUGUGAGCUCGAUGAGUAGGGCGGGACACGUGGUAUCCUGUCUGAAUAUGGGGGGACCAUCCUCCAAGGCUAAAUACUCCUGACUGACCGAUAGUGAACCAGUACCGUGAGGGAAAGGCGAAAAGAACCCCGGCGAGGGGAGUGAAAAAGAACCUGAAACCGUGUACGUACAAGCAGUGGGAGCACGCUUAGGCGUGUGACUGCGUACCUUUUGUAUAAUGGGUCAGCGACUUAUAUUCUGUAGCAAGGUUAACCGAAUAGGGGAGCCGAAGGGAAACCGAGUCUUAACUGGGCGUUAAGUUGCAGGGUAUAGACCCGAAACCCGGUGAUCUAGCCAUGGGCAGGUUGAAGGUUGGGUAACACUAACUGGAGGACCGAACCGACUAAUGUUGAAAAAUUAGCGGAUGACUUGUGGCUGGGGGUGAAAGGCCAAUCAAACCGGGAGAUAGCUGGUUCUCCCCGAAAGCUAUUUAGGUAGCGCCUCGUGAAUUCAUCUCCGGGGGUAGAGCACUGUUUCGGCAAGGGGGUCAUCCCGACUUACCAACCCGAUGCAAACUGCGAAUACCGGAGAAUGUUAUCACGGGAGACACACGGCGGGUGCUAACGUCCGUCGUGAAGAGGGAAACAACCCAGACCGCCAGCUAAGGUCCCAAAGUCAUGGUUAAGUGGGAAACGAUGUGGGAAGGCCCAGACAGCCAGGAUGUUGGCUUAGAAGCAGCCAUCAUUUAAAGAAAGCGUAAUAGCUCACUGGUCGAGUCGGCCUGCGCGGAAGAUGUAACGGGGCUAAACCAUGCACCGAAGCUGCGGCAGCGACGCUUAUGCGUUGUUGGGUAGGGGAGCGUUCUGUAAGCCUGUGAAGGUGUGCUGUGAGGCAUGCUGGAGGUAUCAGAAGUGCGAAUGCUGACAUAAGUAACGAUAAAGCGGGUGAAAAGCCCGCUCGCCGGAAGACCAAGGGUUCCUGUCCAACGUUAAUCGGGGCAGGGUGAGUCGACCCCUAAGGCGAGGCCGAAAGGCGUAGUCGAUGGGAAACAGGUUAAUAUUCCUGUACUUGGUGUUACUGCGAAGGGGGGACGGAGAAGGCUAUGUUGGCCGGGCGACGGUUGUCCCGGUUUAAGCGUGUAGGCUGGUUUUCCAGGCAAAUCCGGAAAAUCAAGGCUGAGGCGUGAUGACGAGGCACUACGGUGCUGAAGCAACAAAUGCCCUGCUUCCAGGAAAAGCCUCUAAGCAUCAGGUAACAUCAAAUCGUACCCCAAACCGACACAGGUGGUCAGGUAGAGAAUACCAAGGCGCUUGAGAGAACUCGGGUGAAGGAACUAGGCAAAAUGGUGCCGUAACUUCGGGAGAAGGCACGCUGAUAUGUAGGUGAAGCGACUUGCUCGUGGAGCUGAAAUCAGUCGAAGAUACCAGCUGGCUGCAACUGUUUAUUAAAAACACAGCACUGUGCAAACACGAAAGUGGACGUAUACGGUGUGACGCCUGCCCGGUGCCGGAAGGUUAAUUGAUGGGGUCAGCGCAAGCGAAGCUCUUGAUCGAAGCCCCGGUAAACGGCGGCCGUAACUAUAACGGUCCUAAGGUAGCGAAAUUCCUUGUCGGGUAAGUUCCGACCUGCACGAAUGGCGUAAUGAUGGCCAGGCUGUCUCCACCCGAGACUCAGUGAAAUUGAACUCGCUGUGAAGAUGCAGUGUACCCGCGGCAAGACGGAAAGACCCCGUGAACCUUUACUAUAGCUUGACACUGAACAUUGAGCCUUGAUGUGUAGGAUAGGUGGGAGGCUUUGAAGUGUGGACGCCAGUCUGCAUGGAGCCGACCUUGAAAUACCACCCUUUAAUGUUUGAUGUUCUAACGUGGACCCGUGAUCCGGGUUGCGGACAGUGUCUGGUGGGUAGUUUGACUGGGGCGGUCUCCUCCUAAAGAGUAACGGAGGAGCACGAAGGUUGGCUAAUCCUGGUCGGACAUCAGGAGGUUAGUGCAAUGGCAUAAGCCAGCUUGACUGCGAGCGUGACGGCGCGAGCAGGUGCGAAAGCAGGUCAUAGUGAUCCGGUGGUUCUGAAUGGAAGGGCCAUCGCUCAACGGAUAAAAGGUACUCCGGGGAUAACAGGCUGAUACCGCCCAAGAGUUCAUAUCGACGGCGGUGUUUGGCACCUCGAUGUCGGCUCAUCACAUCCUGGGGCUGAAGUAGGUCCCAAGGGUAUGGCUGUUCGCCAUUUAAAGUGGUACGCGAGCUGGGUUUAGAACGUCGUGAGACAGUUCGGUCCCUAUCUGCCGUGGGCGCUGGAGAACUGAGGGGGGCUGCUCCUAGUACGAGAGGACCGGAGUGGACGCAUCACUGGUGUUCGGGUUGUCAUGCCAAUGGCACUGCCCGGUAGCUAAAUGCGGAAGAGAUAAGUGCUGAAAGCAUCUAAGCACGAAACUUGCCCCGAGAUGAGUUCUCCCUGACUCCUUGAGAGUCCUGAAGGAACGUUGAAGACGACGACGUUGAUAGGCCGGGUGUGUAAGCGCAGCGAUGCGUUGAGCUAACCGGUACUAAUGAACCGUGAGGCUUAACCUUACAACGCCGAAGCUGUU